rnacentral:lncRNA from 1 species
GGUCCACCGAUCUCAUGAUGAUGACUUGCAAAUAGAGCACAAUGGAUGAUGAUGUGCUCUUCAGAGUUUUUUUUUCAUUUUGUUUGUGUUUUUGUAUUUAUAUGUUACAAAAAUAUUGUUAUUGUUUUUUCGAUCAAAUAUUUGUUAUUGUUCAUUUGUAUGUAUCACUAAAAUAUUGUUUAUUUUUAAGCUGAUCGUGG